AUCACCGCACUGGUAGCGAAUAAAAUAUGAAAACAAAAGAUUAAAAAGUCCUCGGGGCGUUCAAAGUCAACAGACAGUGGAAUUGUUGCGUUUAAGAACAUGGCGACUCCAUCAUACAACGAGCAUCGAGUCUUUAUUUAUAGCAGAAAUACUGCAUCUACGCUGAGAGUAAUCCUCCGGGUCAAGGCAUUGCCCCCUGAAGUUCGCUUGUUGACAGCGCACCCCAAAAAGGUCCUACAAAGAUGACAGCGAUAUAAAUAGAAUCAGUGGGGAAGGCCAAAAAUGGAGUAGGAAGCUGAAGACACUUCCACUAGAUCCACUAGAUGGCAGCAGUGCUGUUUGGAAAACAGUGUGGAGGAGAAUGUGUCUCAUACGGAAGGGAAGAAUCGGAUAUAACCUCAACAGGCCAGGCAAAGACGGAGGAGCAAUUUUAUGCAUAUCGCUGUUCUUGGGGGCACCUGUGUGAACAAAGAAAUCUGUCUACUCCAGCUCCAGCUCAGUGUUUUUUGACAGUAGCUACUAAUAGAUGGUUAUUUUGAAAAUGUCCGCUCCCCCUUUACAAAUAACAUCCACUUAAUUUUGUAAUUUUGGU